rnacentral:rRNA from 1 species
CUACGGGAUGCUGCAGUGAGGAAUAUUGCACAAUGGGGGGAACCCUGAUGCAGCAACGCCGCGUGGAGGAUGACGCAUUUCGGUGUGUAAACUCCUUUUAUAUGUCAAGAAAAUGACGGUAGCAUAUGAAUAAGCACCGGCUAACUCCGUGCCAGCAGCCGCGGUAAUACGGAGGGUGCAAGCGUUACUCGGAAUCACUGGGCGUAAAGGACGCGUAGGCGGGUUGGAAAGUCAGGUGUGAAAUCCUACAGCUUAACUGUAGAACUGCACUUGAAACUUCUAAUCUAGAGUAUGGGAGGGGGAGAUGGAAUUAGUGGUAUAGGGGUAAAAUCCGUAGAUAUCACUAGGAAUACCUAAAGCGAAGGCGAUCUCCUGGAACAUUACUGACGCUAAGGCGUGAAAGCGUGGGGAGCAAACAGGAUUAGAUACCCGGUAGUC